rnacentral:tRNA from 1 species
GGGGAUAUAGCUCAGUGGUAGAGCACUCGCUUUGCAAGCGAGAGGCCCGGUAUCUCCA